UUUUACGGGAGGCAGCAGGUGGGGAAUAUUGCAACAAGUGGGACGAAAGCCUGAUGCAGCAACGCCGCGUGAACGAUGAAGGUCUUCGGAUCGUAAAGUUCUGUUGCAGGGGAAGAUAAUGACGGUACCCUGUGAGGAAGCCCCGGCUAACUACGUGCCAGCAGCCGCGGUAAUAAAA
rnacentral:rRNA from 1 species